CUCUCUCUACAGCUAGCUACCUAGCUAGAGCUAGUAUCUACCCGCCAUUGCAUUGCACCACCUCUGUCCUCGAUCUCUAUUGCUCGACCAUACACACACACACACACACGAUCGACUGCUCCAGCUCGCGCGGGAGAAGCUCGCCGGCGGUCGAUCAGCUACAGCUAGUAGCUUGGACUAAUAACUCUGCUGUAUCUGUAUGGAUAUGGCAAUGAGCCAGCACAGCUCCGACACCUCGUCCACGUCCUCCUACUCGUCCGACCCCUCCUCCACGUCGUCCACCAGCCCGCGCGCCGCCGCCGGCACCAGCAACGGCAAGAAGCGCCCGCACGACGGCGCCGCCGCCGCCGCCCCGGCGUACCGCGGCGUCCGCAUGCGCGCGUGGGGCAAGUGGGUGUCGGAGAUCAGGGAGCCCCGCAAGAAGUCGCGCAUCUGGCUGGGCACCUUCCCGCGCCCGGAGAUGGCGGCGCGCGCGCCGUGCUCAACUUCCCGGCCCUCGCGCGCCACCUCCCGCGCCCGGCCUCCCUGGCGCCGCGCGACGUCCAGGCCGCCGCCGCGCGCGCCGCCGUCAUGCACGAGCCAGAGCCUCAACGACCUGAUGAGCCCGGACGGCAGCCCGUGGAGGAGGUGGCCCUGGCCGCCGAGCUGGUGUUCGACGACCUGGCGCCUCUGUGGGUGGAGGACGUGGUGGAGUUGGGCCCGUGCCCGUCCCAGCAUAGCUCGUGGACGCCGUGCGAUGGGCUCGACGCCGCCGCCGCCUGUCUCCACUCUCUCCCUCUCUUGUGGGACUACUAGCUGCUACUAGGCUCCUUGCUCCGUUUGUACAUGGCCUUGAACCAUUUUCGUUUCCGCUUGUUUUUUUUUUUUUGGUUUUCACUUGUUUUCAUAUAUCCACCGGAGCUACCUACAAAGAGUAAAUCCCUACUCGCACUGUACUACUUCUCGUAUAUUUGGACUAAAUUUUGGCGGGUAGCCAUCGCUUAAACCAA